CCUACGUGAGGCUGCAGUGGGGAAUAUUGGGCCAUGGGCGCAAGCCUGACCCAGCAACGCCGCGUGAAGGAAGAAGGCUUUCGGGUUGUAAACUUCUUUUCUCAGGGACGAAGCAAGUGACGGUACCUGAGGAAUAAGCCACGGCUAACUCCGUGCCAGCAGCCGCGGUAAUACGUAGUUGGCAAGCGUUAUCCGGAUUUACUGGGGGUAAAGGGCGUGUAGGCGGGGACGCAAGUCAGAUGUGAAACCCACGGGCUCAACCUGUGGCCUGCAUUUGAAACUGUGUUUCUUGAGUACUGGAGAGGCAGACGGAAUUCCUAGUGUAGCGGUGAAAUGCGUAGAUAUUAGGAGGAACACCAGUGGCGAAGGCGGUCUGCUGGACAGCAACUGACGCUGAGGCGCGAAAGCGUGGGGAGCAAACAGGAUUAGAUACCCCAGUAGUC
rnacentral:rRNA from 1 species